rnacentral:rRNA from 1 species
AGUGAACGCUGGCGGUAGGCCUAACACAUGCAAGUCGAACGGCAGCACAGUAAGAGCUUGCUCUUACGGGUGGCGAGUGGCGGACGGGUGAGGAAUACAUCGGAAUCUACUUUUUCGUGGGGGAUAACGUAGGGAAACUUACGCUAAUACCGCAUACGACCUACGGGUGAAAGCAGGGGAUCUUCGGACCUUGCGCGAUUGAAUGAGCCGAUGUCGGAUUAGCUAGUUGGCGGGGUAAAGGCCCACCAAGGCGACGAUCCGUAGCUGGUCUGAGAGGAUGAUCAGACACACUGGAACUGAGACACGGUCCAGACCCCUACGGGAGGCAGCAGUGGGGAAUAUUGGACAAUGGGCGCAAGCCUGAUCCAGCCAUACCGCGUGGGUGAAGAAGGCCUUCGGGUUGUAAAGCCCUUUUGUUGGGAAAGAAAAGCAGCAGGUUAAUACCCCGCUGUUCUGACGGUACCCAAAGAAUAAGCACCGGCUAACUUCGUG